rnacentral:lncRNA from 1 species
UGAGGGUGAGGAACCUAUUUUGUUCUUAUUAAUGUAUUUAACAUUUUCUAACACUAUGCGUCUGACUUAUAAUUGGUUAGGUAACUAUAUAUUUAGUGAGUGAAUGCAUGACUGAAUAUAUUAAAUAAGUGAGUGGAUAAAAACCAAGCUAAAAACGAUUAAUCAGGAACAUUUAUUGGACAAAUAAAUGCAGAGUAAACACAAUUGUUCCAGACAUCAUAGACUUUUCUUUGAUUAUAUUUUCAUGUCAUAAUGUAUUUGAAAACUGCAUAUCAACCAAUAGUAACUUAUAAUUCAGUCUGGCCAUCUGAAAUGAUUUUCAAAUACAACACAACCUGUUUUUGUUUAGGGACUGUUCAGUCUGCACAUAGAGUUAGCCUGAUAAUUGUGUUUAAAAUUGUAUAGAUAGAAAUAAAUAUAAAGCAUCAAUCAUAAUCUCCUAAAACUGUGUUAUUGAAAUCACUAUUGUUGCCAGACACCAAUGAAACAUUCUAUUAAGUUUUAAGUUAAUUGCACGAUUAAAGCCCUUAGAU